rnacentral:misc_RNA from 1 species
GAUGAAGAACGCAGCGAAAUGCGAUAAGUAAUGUGAAUUGCAGAAUUCAGUGAAUCAUCGAAUCUUUAAACGCACAUUGCGCCCCCCAGUAUUCUGGCGGGCAUGCCUGUUCGAGCGUCAUUUCAACCAUCAAGCCCUGCUUGUGUUGGGGUCCUGCGGCUGCCCGCAGGCCCUGAAAACCAGUGGCGGGCUCGCUAGUCACACCGAGCGCAGUAGCACAUCUCGCUCAGGGCGUGCGGCGGGCUCCAGCCGUUAAAGCACCCACCUUUCGCAAGGUUGACCUCGGAUCAGGUAGGAAUACCCGCUGAACUUAAGCAUAUCAAUAAGGGAGGA